rnacentral:rRNA from 1 species
GGAAAACUUAUCAGGUCCAGACAUAGUGAGGAUUGACAGAUUGAGAGCUCUUUCUUGAUUCUAUGGGAGGUGGUGCAUGUCCGUUCUUAGUUGGUGGAGUGAUUUGUCUGGUUAAUUCCAUUAACGAACGAGACCCCCGCCUGCUAAAUAGGUCCGUGAAUGAAUUUCAUUGACGAGAUCUUCUUAGAGGGACUUUUGGUGACUAACCAAAGGAAGUUGGGGGCAAUAA